rnacentral:rRNA from 1 species
UAGGGAAUCUUCGGCAAUGGGCGAAAGUCUGACCGAGCAACGCCGCGUGAGUGAAGAAGGUUUUCGGAUCGUAAAACUCUGUUGUUAGAGCAGAACAAGGACGUUAGUAACUGAACGUCCCCUGACGGUAUCUAACCAGAAAGCCACGGCUAACUACGUGCCAGCAGCCGCGGUAAUACGUAGGUGGCAAGCGUUGUCCGGAUUUAUUGGGCGUAAAGCGAGCGCAGGCGGUUUCUUAAGUCUGAUGUGAAAGCCCCCGGCUCAACCGGGGAGGGUCAUUGGAAACUGGGAGACUUGAGUGCAGAAGAGGAGAGUGGAAUUCCAUGUGUAGCGGUGAAAUGCGUAGAUAUAUGGAGGAACACCAGUGGCGAAGGCGGCUCUCUGGUCUGUAACUGACGCUGAGGCUCGAAAGCGUGGGGAGCAAACAGG